GAUCUCGAAAGCCUGUCCCAGUUCGGACUGGAGUCUGCAACCCGACUCCACGAAGUUGGAUUCGCUAGUAAUCGCGCAUCAGCCAUGGCGCGGUGAAUACGUUCCCGGGCCUUGUACACACCGCCCGUCAAGCCAUGGGAGCCGGGGGCGCCUGAAGUCCGGGACCGCGAGGACCGGCCUAGGGCGAAACUGGUAACUGGGGCUAAGUCGUAACAAGGUAUC
rnacentral:rRNA from 1 species